rnacentral:lncRNA from 1 species
CGUAACUUCCGUCUUGCCAGCCCAUUCUCUCUAAUGACUGUCUCCCUCGCUGGAUGUGAUGAAGUAGGCUACAUUAUGCAGCACCCCAUGAAACAAAGAAUUGAGUGUGACCACCAGGCAACAUCUGGCAAGGAACUGAGUUCCAACAGUGCACAAGGAAGUGAAUCCUGACAACAGUCCCAAGAGCUUAGGAGUGAAUCCUUCUCCACUCCAGCCUCAGAUAAGUCUUGCCCUUAAUUGCAGCCUCAUGAAAGACUCUGAAACCUUGGGCCCAGUUUUUUUAAAUGAUCUCAAGGUGGAUUAAAGACUUAAACUGUAAAACUCCCAGGAGAAAACAUACAGAGGAUCCUUCAUUAUAUUGGUAUUGGCAGUGAUUUAUUGGAUAUGAUGCCAAAAGCACAGUACACAAAAACAAAAACAGAAUACAGCAACGGAACAAUUAACAGAGUGAAAAAGUAACCUGUGGAAUGGGAAAAUGGGAAUGCUGUUCUGCAUAGCAACGGAACAAUUGGCAGAGUGAAAAGUUUCUUGCAGCUUGGUGUGGUGGAUCUCACCUGUAAUCCCAGGACUUUGGGAGGCCGAGGCAAGAGGAUUGCUUGAGACCAGGAGAUGAAGACCAGCCU